rnacentral:rRNA from 1 species
GUCUAUGGCCAUACCACCUGAACGUGCCCGAUCUCGUCUGAUCUCGGAAGCUAAGCAGGGUCGGGCCUGGUUAGUACCUGGAUGAGAGAAAGUCUUGCUUGCAAGGAUG